rnacentral:rRNA from 1 species
UACGGGGGGAGCAAGCGUUGUUCGGAUUUACUGGGCGUAAAGGGCGCGUAGGCGGCCAGCACAAUUCAGUUGUGAAAUCUCCGGGCUUAACUCGGAAAGGUCAACUGAUACUGUGCGGCUAGAGUGCAGAAGGGGCAACUGGAAUUCUCGGUGUAGCGGUGAAAUGCGUAGAUAUCGAGAGGAACACCUGCGGCGAAGGCGGGUUGCUGGGCUGACACUGACGCUGAUGCGCGACAGCGUGGGGAGCAAACAGG